AGAUGUAGCUUAGUGGGAGAGCACUUGCCUAACAUGUGCUAGAACCUGGGUUCAAUCCCCAGUACUG
rnacentral:tRNA from 1 species